rnacentral:lncRNA from 10 species
UGGGACUUGGUCUCAGGCAUGAGUCUUUUCUUCCUCCUUCCUGGGAGGGGUUGGAACUAAGCCUCAAAGCAGAGUAGCUGACAACGUGGCGUGGGAGAGGCUUGGAUGUGUCGCUGGAGAGAAACAUUCUUGCCACCCCCACCCUAAAGAGGCUGCGGGGACAGGCAGCCCAGCCCUCCUGGCCUAUUUUCGGGCUGGAGAGAGGUUCAGUCUCAGGCACAGUUUUGGGAGGCAGAUCAGCCUCCCUGUUCCGGCCUCCCACUCCCAUGGAGCUCUCUGCUGCCUCUUCCAAGGGGCCGCAGAUACCCGUUCCUUGCUCUAUUUCUUCACCAGCCCUACCUGUUCUCAGUCCAUUACCUCAUGGCCCUGCUCUCUGCUUACUAAAGUGACAAUUCGUCUAUAAGGAAGCCCUUGCACUGUAGCUGAGGAUUCGCGAGGCUGCACCCUCAGCAGGCACUGUGGCCACACAGCACUGGCCUGAGAUCUGAGUUCCUGGAGCCUCGGCCCUGAGGCCCAUGAGUCGGGGUCUCACUGUCUUACCUGGGCUGGUCUCAAUCUCCUGGGCUCAAGUGAUCCUCUCAACUCAGCCUCCCAAAGUGCUGAG